rnacentral:lncRNA from 1 species
UUAUAGUAAGAAUGUGCUAAAGCCGAGUUCUCUGAUUGGCAUCAUUGCAGCUUAUUCACACAAAGCUUGCAAGUCACUUCAAGAUUAUCCUAAUCAUACAAAUAGUUUGAUGGAAAAGCACUUUAUAAAGUCUAAGUGUAGUUGAAGCAUAAUGUACAGCAGAAUAUAUUACCUUCAAUCUACAUGACAAGUCUUUCCAUAUAAUUAAUUAUCGGUAAGAGAUUAAUUCUAUGAGAGGACAAUUCUAAUGCAUCUAAAAAGAUCAUGUUCUAACAGAAGUUUGAAUGCUUGUCAUGUUGAGAUAUAUUACAUACAUUUUAUUCAAAACAAACCAACAUAAUGAUUGAAACAAUGGCUAUUGUAUAUUUUUGAGAUUUACUACAAAUUUUUCCUUUCGCAGCAAUAAAAGCUAUGAGAACCAAUUGUUCUGCAAAGUCUGUUGUCAAAUGCCUGUUUCUUGAAAAGUGUAGUGUGCAUAUCUCGUUCAAAUCACUCCCUAAUAAAAUGCAGGCUACCUAAUGUUAUUUUGGUAUUUCUUCACAUUCAUGUGUGCCAACUCUUGUGAAGCCUCUCAUCUAUAAGCUUGUAGGCUUGCAGCCAACAUUAUAUUAAUGGAAAAUACUUGGGUGGCAAUAAAUAGACAGUUUGAAAAAGUACAUCCAUUUUCAGAAUACAAAUAUGGAAAGACAAAAAGAAAAACAAUUAUCAGUAAACACUAUGCAUAAGUAUUAGUAGUAGCCCUCACUCAAAGCAGUAAAAUUUGAUACAAAGAUGAUAGUGAAACAAGUGAACCUAAUACAUAUCAGGCUAUAAAAAUGCUUGUCUUGUAAGCUGCUGUUUAAAAUGUAGAGCUUGUACACUUGCAUCUGGUAAUAGAUACAUACUCUGCUCGCCAAGAUUGAGGUUUUAUACAUAUUACAACAAAAAUCAAAAAACUACCUAUCCACAAAAAUCAAUGUUUAAUUUGAAUGUUGUUUUAAAAGAUAAGUAAUUAAAGAAAAUAUAUAUUUAUAUAAGUAAAUUAAUAAACAAACAUUAAAAAAAUAGAUAUAAAUAACUAAAUAAUAGAGUCCAGCUGGAGUGCUUCUAAUAGCACCAAGCAAAUGGUGAUACUAACUUUUCCACCAUUAAAUCAACCCCUUUAAUCAUUUCUACCUCUUGAAUCAAUAUUAUUCUACCAACUAUCACUAAACCCUAGCGGGACCACUAUCAUUCCAACUCCAUAAUUCUUCAUCCAAGAGCUUACAAACUUAGAAGUAAAAAGACCCAAAAACCUCUUAAAGUAUUCUUGCCCAAUUCAAUAAUAGAUACAUAAACGCGUUGAUAAAUAAAUGAGUGAAUAUAUAAAUAAGUAAAUUAACAAAUUNAAAAAAGAAGCACAUAGAUAGAUAAAUGAAUGUCACUACUUGGUGAAUAUAUAUAAAUAGAUAAUAGAAAAAUGAAUAAAUAUAUCCAUACAUAAAUAGUCCCACCACAUUGGGAAUGUAUCAGCUUUCUUCCUUCACAUACAACACGACAGCACAAGAAUAAGCCACCCAUAUGCUCCCAAUUUUCUCCCAACUAUACAUUAAUACUUCCUAAAUCAAGAUGCAUGUAUAAAGAUCAAACACCAGACAAGCAUUAUCUCUUUCUCCUCUGAAAACGAAAAUCCUACGAAGCAAAUACGCAAGCACCUACUAGCCAUACCAUUCAUCGCAAAGGAAUCAGAUGCGCGCUUCAAGAAGCCAAAACCGAGGGAACCCAAUAGAAAUCCAAGAGAAACCAAUUUUACAUUAAAAGUUCGCAAAUCAAGAUGCAUGUGGAGAGAUCAAACACAUAAUGGGCAUAUUAUUAACCGAAAAGAAAUCAGAUACUUACUACAGGAAAUCAAAAGCAGGGGCACCCAAUAAGCUGGAAGAUGAUGUAAAGAAACAACCUUUGGGAAAAUAAAAAGAAACCCAAUUGAAAUCCAACAGAAAACUACUUUAUAUUAAACCUUCCUAAAUCAAGAUCUUACAUUAAACAUCGCAAAUCAAACACCUGACAAGGAUAUCAUGCUCUUUCGAAAACAAACACCCUAGGAAGCAAAAACAGAAACCUAAAGAAGCCUAAAGAAGACAUAGAGAUACAAACUUUGGAAAAACAGAAGAAACCCAAUUGAAAAGCACUUUAUAAAGUCUAAGCUUAGUUGAAGCAUAAUUUAUACAGUCUAAGCAAAUGAAGUAACAUCACUUGAUUCGUAAAGAUUUGUUAAAAUGAAGAGGAAAGAAAAAAAAAAAAAAGGUGCAUUCAAGUCGAUUCUCCACAACAUAAUAGUUCGCGCAACAAAGCAAGUUAAUGCAACUUUCCACAGUAAAAAACUAGGAAGAGGAAGAGGUAAUAAUUUCCUAAUUUGAGUUCAGAAUCACUAAUUAGUAGAAUAGAUUUGAGUGUCACCUAAUUAGCUUUUAUAGUAAGAAUGUGCUAAAGCCGAGUUCUCUGAUUGGCAUCAUUGCAGCUUAUUC